AAAAUUCACAAUCCCUGUCACCCAUUCAAAAAUCACCAGGCAUGCGAGGAAGCAGGAAAAGGAAAAUGCACCCAGAAGAGAAGGAGCACCCAUCAACGGGGCCGCCUCAGAAGCGACAGACGACCGGGCAAGUCCAAGGGCACCGAGGCACCUGCCACCGCUGUGUCCAGCGCUCCCGAAGCCAGAGGGCAGAUUGAGGUUCAGAGAAGUCAGAAGCCUUCCCAAGGUUGCACAGCCAGAAGUGGGCACAGCGUCCUGGGGUGAGGCCUCACACCCUCUGCGCCACCUGCCCUCCAGGUCCCACCAUCCUCACAAAUUCAAGGCAAGGUUCUGGAACCCCCAGCCCUCCAGAAAGGGGAAGCUGAGCCCAGGAGGCACAUCUGAGAGUUCGGCCACCUGCACGGCCACGCCAGUGUGAUUCCUCAGCAGCCACACAGAAGACAGAUGGUCCAUAGGAGACUCAGAAACAGAGAAGCCUCACGCCAGGUCCACAGAGGCACCCACUCCCGCCAAAAGGAUGCCACGCACUCACCCUGCCCUCUGGGGAGCACAGUGGGAGUCCAGGACACCGCCUUGGAUGGGGUGAGGCUCCGUCUGUGACCUCAGAAAGUCAGUCUGGGGCUGGACUUGACAUGGGAAACAGAAUAAAACUGCCUGUCCACCUGAGCUUGCCGCCCUAAAAAUCCCUGACAUGAUACAGAAGUCAGUGCUGACAGAGGGCCUGCUGCCCCCAGUGACGCUGCCGGUGGGGUCUCAACCCACCCACUUCUGGAGCAGCCGGUCCCAGCUGUGGUCCUGCUGGCGCACACGGGGAUGAGACCCUUAAACACACAGCGACUGCACAGUGCAACCCUGCAUAUCCCAUUUGGGUACAAGUUUCAUUACCGGAAGAAACAUGGGGAGGGACCCCAGAGCAUCUCACGCGUGGGUACCCUCCGCUGUGUUAGCAUCCCGGCCCUCACACGGCACCCAGGCCUCAUUGGAACAAGGCCUUGUGCAGACACGGUGGGAUCUGCGUGUGCAUUGGGGCCUGUGCCUGGGCUGCUGCUCCCCGGACACCGCUGUCAGGAUCUCCAGGACCCCCAUGAGUGGUCAGUGGAGCAGAGAUGGCACAGACGCCAGCGACCUGGGUCAUUCUCUACCUGGGAUGUGGGACCCCAGAGACCACGCUGUGGGUCUUUAUCUGCCUCUUCAUGCAGGAGCAGGCGCGACCCCUGCCUGCCCCAGCCAUGAGAAUCUGUCACAGGGGACCUCUGUGGCACCCUGUGCUGCAGGCAAGGCCUUAGGACAGACGCCACGCCACUGUCCAGGAGACUGUCUCCUGAGACUGACCUCCCCUUGCACUGGGCAAUGUCUGCUGAAGAUAAGGACGUCUUCGCUGGGCCAGGCCUGGAGUUCUCCCAGAUCGUGAGCUUUCCUCUCUCUGAUGAAGAGGAUACCUGUGGUCAAACUCCUACAGAGCACUGGGGACAGGAAGGCAGGCAGAGUCCCACCUGGGCAGGUGGUAGGAGUGGAAGGAGCAGUCAGGCAGCAGGGCUGCCCAGGGCUAGGAGUCUGGCUGCGAGCAGGGCCCACCCUCCCCUGGACACAAUGGAAGAUCCCGUGUGUGGUUUUCACUGACUGAGCACCUAUCUCGUGCCAGACAUGUGGGACUGCCGAUGAAUUAACAAAAGCCCUGCUCUCAGGGGGGCUCCCAUCCCAGCACAUACACCAUCACAUCUGGGGUCCAGCCUGGACCACCCCCAUGCAGUUGGAGAGGGUCUCAGAA
rnacentral:lncRNA from 1 species